rnacentral:rRNA from 1 species
AUGGCAUACGAUAUGCUCCAUGAGAUUAGCAAUCAGAAGGAUUCCUGGAAAGUCAAGGUCAGAAUAAUUAGGCUAUGGGAUGCCAUUAAUCUCAACAACAAUGAACUUAUUAGCCUUGACAUGAUACUACUUGAUGAAGAGGUAAUGAAGCAUAUGGUUAACAAGUUCAGACCAUUGAUCCAAGAAGGUUUAGUCUACAUGAUAGCAAAUUUUAAGGUUAUGUCUGCAAUGAAUUUCCGUCCAGUUGAAAGUGAAAAGGUUCUAAAUUUCUUGCACACGACAAAAAUUCAAGAGAUAAGAGGUCAAAAAAAUAUCAAAAUAGCAGAACAAAGCUUCACGUUUUGUACUGUUGAAGUUCUUUCCACAAGAGAUAGCCAAAAGAUGUUCUUAUCUGAUGUCAUUGGCAUAGCAAGUUACAUAGGACAUAUUGAAGAAACACAGACAACCCACGGGAUUUCAAAGAUUCGAGAUAUUGUGCUUCGAAUUGAGGAUCAAAAAAUUAAUAUUAGACUAUGGGGUAAUAAGGUUGGUCAAAUUGAUGAAGAUUCUUUGGGGCGUGUGGUCAUAGUAACAUCAACUACUGUUAGAAAACUGAAAGAGUACUCGCUGUCAUCUACAGGUGCGACCAGAGUUUAUAUCGAUUUGGAUAUCCCUGAAACAAAUGAGCUUCAAACAAGGUAUUGCUUGCAAGAUGAUAAGGUAGAGGAAAUAGAGCCGGAAGCCCACUUGCAAGGCACAAUUCAAGAACAGAUGCUCUAUAACAGAAGAACCCUAAAAGAAAUAACUGAAAUUACAUAUGAAUCUGAAAAACAGUAA